UUAAUUUGAGAGUUUGAUCCUGGCUCAGGACGAACGCUGGCGGCGUGCCUAAUACAUGCAAGUCGAACGAACUCUGGUAUUGAUUGGUGCUUGCAUCAUGAUUUACAUUUGAGUGAGUGGCGAACUGGUGAGUAACACGUGGGAAACCUGCCCAGAAGCGGGGGAUAACACCUGGAAACAGAUGCUAAUACCGCAUAACAACUUGGACCGCAUGGUCCGAGUUUGAAAGAUGGCUUCGGCUAUCACUUUUGGAUGGUCCCGCGGCGUAUUAGCUAGAUGGUGGGGUAACGGCUCACCAUGGCAAUGAUACGUAGCCGACCUGAGAGGGUAAUCGGCCACAUUGGGACUGAGACACGGCCCAAACUCCUACGGGAGGCAGCAGUAGGGAAUCUUCCACAAUGGACGAAAGUCUGAUGGAGCAACGCCGCGUGAGUGAAGAAGGGUUUCGGCUCGUAAAACUCUGUUGUUGAAGAAGAACAUAUCUGAGAGUAACUGUUCAGGUAUUGACGGUAUUUAACCAGAAAGCCACGGCUAACUACGUGCCAGCAGCCGCGGUAAUACGUAGGUGGCAAGCGUUGUCCGGAUUUAUUGGGCGUAAAGCGAGCGCAGGCGGUUUUUUAAGUCUGAUGUGAAAGCCUUCGGCUCAACCGAAGAAGUGCAUCGGAAACUGGGAAACUUGAGUGCAGAAGAGGACAGUGGAACUCCAUGUGUAGCGGUGAAAUGCGUAGAUAUAUGGAAGAACACCAGUGGCGAAGGCGGCUGUCUGGUCUGUAACUGACGCUGAGGCUCGAAAGUAUGGGUAGCAAACAGGAUUAGAUACCCUGGUAGUCCAUACCGUAAACGAUGAAUGCUAAGUGUUGGAGGGUUUCCGCCCUUCAGUGCUGCAGCUAACGCAUUAAGCAUUCCGCCUGGGGAGUACGGCCGCAAGGCUGAAACUCAAAGGAAUUGACGGGGGCCCGCACAAGCGGUGGAGCAUGUGGUUUAAUUCGAAGCUACGCGAAGAACCUUACCAGGUCUUGACAUACUAUGCAAAUCUAAGAGAUUAGACGUUCCCUUCGGGGACAUGGAUACAGGUGGUGCAUGGUUGUCGUCAGCUCGUGUCGUGAGAUGUUGGGUUAAGUCCCGCAACGAGCGCAACCCUUAUUAUCAGUUGCCAGCAUUAAGUUGGGCACUCUGGUGAGACUGCCGGUGACAAACCGGAGGAAGGUGGGGAUGACGUCAAAUCAUCAUGCCCCUUAUGACCUGGGCUACACACGUGCUACAAUGGAUGGUACAACGAGUUGCGAACUCGCGAGAGUAAGCUAAUCUCUUAAAGCCAUUCUCAGUUCGGAUUGUAGGCUGCAACUCGCCUACAUGAAGUCGGAAUCGCUAGUAAUCGCGGAUCAGCAUGCCGCGGUGAAUACGUUCCCGGGCCUUGUACACACCGCCCGUCACACCAUGAGAGUUUGUAACACCCAAAGUCGGUGGGGUAACCUUUUAGGAACCAGCCGCCUAAGGUGGGACAGAUGAUUAGGGUGAAGUCGUAACAAGGUAGCCGUAGGAGAACCUGCGGCUGGAUCACCUCCUUUCUAAGGAA
rnacentral:rRNA from 2 species